UCUUGUGACGUCGCAGAUCUCUCGAUGGACGGCACUUGGAACUGAAUCCUGAGACGAAUCAUCUUGGCAGCGCGAGACUCAAGGGACGAGGCUGAUAUGAUUGUGUGUGGCGUAAAUAUAUCACGCCGCUGCCUCUAUGUAUUUACAGAACAAGCCAGCGCCAAGUACACGAGUUGGGACGAAACGACACCGUGACGCAGUGGGCCUCUGGUCUCGUGGAGAGUGAUCUGCCGUAAGAGGAAGAAUGCACGUGAGUUUUGUCCUGGCCGCGGAAUUCCGGAUAACGCAGGUGUCUGGGAGAGUGGAUGAUCAGCCAGGACUGAGUAGAUGCUGAGUCUCGGGAGUGAACUGUGUGGUGCAGGACCGUAUCGGUUAUGCAGUCUCUUUUAACGAGAGACAUCGUGGAGGAGGCUGGCGAGUGCUCUCAACACACGUGACGGAGCGGCGCCAUGGUAACUGUCACCGUGGCCAGGAAGUCUCUUGUGCUGAACACUGCAAUGUUGUGUUAUCAAGACUGUGUAUUGGUGCAGCGCAUACAGUCGGAUCACUAAGCGUGUUGUAGUGAUGAAACUAUGGAAACUAUGGCGAAUGAUUAUUGAUCGUUGGAAAAAAGCAUAGGUGUGAUAAUAAUUCGGUGCUUGAGUUACACUAACACUCCAUCACUACCGCCACCACGGCCAUCACCACCGCCAUCACCACCGCCAUAACCACCGCCGCUACUAAGAGUUGGAUCAGCAGAGGAGCCGACACCGCACAGCUCGGCGCUCUUCCCCUGUGCCUGAGCAACACUGCGCUGACACGUCUGUCCGAUGCAGGGAGGAGACAGCAAGCGAGAGGCGAGGCUUGGCGGAGUUUUGACAUGCUAAGCAGUUAGUGUUCUUAAUAAGGAUCCAUGUCGGGGCAUCAUGAGGGAAAACAGCUUGUAUGCUGUCAUACGGACGCGGCGCUCACAACUUGGAAUCUCAAACAAGCCUCUCCCACACCCACCUCUAAUAUCUUCCACCACUGUGACAGAGAGAGAGAGAGAGAGAGAGAGAGAGAGAGAGAGAGAGAGAGAGAGAGAGAGAGAGAGAGAGAGAGAGAGAGAGAGAGAGAGAGAUUAGAUUAGAUUAGAUUAAAUUGUUUAUUAUCCACCAAAGUGGUUGUUACACAUUUUACAAGUAGUCAAGUAUACAAAUAUGAUUUAAUACCGGUGAUAUUUAACAAUGUAAAUACAAUAAAGUUGAGGAUCACUCGUCUAUAAUAGAUGCACCACAAAAAUGCUAAGUUAACGUACAUACACUGGUACACUUACAAUGAAAACAUCAAGGUGAAACAAACCUAACUAAAUAUAUUUUUGGUUAUUUUAUUUAUUUAUUUUAUUUUAUUUUUUUCAAGUCCAGCCUUAAAAGAGUUUAUAGAUGUGUCCUGUGUGAGGGAGAGCGGGAGAGAGUUCCACACUGUGGUUCCCAAUAUGACAGUGCGCCUAUCAGCAGAGAGUGUGUAGGUGGCCGGUACAAGCAACUUGUGCCUGUGUCUUGUGACGCUACUGGUGAUGGCUUGCCUGUUACAUAGUGAUAAAAACUAUUUUGGAUGAAACCCUCGUAAAAUCUUAAAUAUUGUUGUAGCCACUUGUAAAACAUGUUUGUGCUUUAUUCGUAGCCAUUGGAGUUCUUUAUAAAAUGGAGACACGUGA